ACUUUCGAUGGUAGGAUAGAGGCCUACCAUGGUGGUAACGGGUAACGGGGUGUUAGGGCACGACACCGGAGAGGGAGCCUGAGAAACGGCUACCACAUCCAAGGAUGGCAGCAGGCGCGCAAAUUACCCAAUCCCGACACGGGGAGGUAGUGACAAUAAAUAACAAUACGGGGUUCUUUCGGAUCUCGUAAUUGGAAUGAGUACAAUUUAAAUCUCUUAACGAGGAACAAUUGGAGGGCAAGUCUGGUGCCAGCAGCCGCGGUAAUUCCAGCUCCAAUAGCGUAUAUUAAAGUUGUUGCAGUUAAAAAGCUCGUAGUUGAAUUUCGGGAUCAAUAUGUCGGUCGUGCUUCGGUACGUACUUGCAUUAUUGAUUUCUCCCUUCUGAAGAACCAUGAUGUCAUUAAUUUGGUGUCUUGGGGAAUCAGGACUGUUACUUUGAAAAAAUUAGAGUGUUUAAAGCAGGCUAACGCUUGAAUACAUUAGCAUGGAAUAAUGAAAUAGGACGUUUGAUUCUAUUUUGUUGGUUUCUAGGAUCGACGUAAUGAUUAAUAGGGAUAGUUGGGGGCAUUAGUAUUCAAUUGUCAGAGGUGAAAUUCUUGGAUUUAUUGAAGACUAACUACUGCGAAAGCAUUUGCCAAGGAUGUUUUCAUUAAUCAAGAACGAAAGUUAGGGGAUCGAAGACGAUCAGAUACCGUCGUGGUCUCAACUAUAAACUAUACCAACUCGGGAUGGGUCAACGUUGAAUCUACGACUUGAUCCGCACCGUAUGGGAAACCAAAGUGUUUGGGUUC
rnacentral:rRNA from 1 species